CAAGGGAUCGUUUGGCUCCCGCGUCGAGGAAGGGCGCCCUGGCCGGCGACAGGCCCCGGAGCAAGCGCACCGACGGGGCGUGCCCGAAUGGUGCUCGGCGAGCACGGACACUCCUCGGAAUUAAGCAUAUGAAUAAAGGAAGGAAAAGAAACCAACAGGGAUUCCCGCAGUAGCGGCGAGUGAACAGGGAACAGUCCGCCGGUGUAAUUCGCGAGAAGAUGUCGGGACUCAUGAUACGCCGGAAGCGGCUGCGAUGCCGCGCCACAGAGGGUGACGGCCCCGUACGGCCAAACAACAACCAAACAUGAGUAGCCGUGCUCGGUAGUGCACGGUGAAGAGGUGGCAGUGUCCAUCUAAGACUAAAUACAGCGGGAGACCGAUAGCAGACAAGUAGGCCGACCGAAAGCGUGAAAUUGUGUGUGGAUCCGAGCAGAUCGGACCCGUCUUGAAACACGGACC
rnacentral:rRNA from 1 species